rnacentral:lncRNA from 1 species
UGCUAUUUGUAAUUUGAUGCUAAUUCAGUCCUCCUGGGAAGGAUUGAGAAGAAGGAAUGAGGCAGCACUCAGGUGAUUUCCUGUAAACCUUCUUCCCACCUUAAUUUGUAAAAUAAAGGCUAGAGCCAGUGAUUGGGCAGCUGAGGGGAAGGUAGACCUGAAAGUUGGGAGACAGAAGAUGAAGGAGGAAGGAAAGUGGAGCAGAAGCACUUGGCCUGGAGAAACCACAAAUUAUAAGGGGUCUCAUAGAUGGGGAAGAUGGUAGUGUAGUGGUAGAUCUUGCCCAAUAUAGGCGCACAGCUUGUAUCCAUAUUAAUUGAAUUGUGUUUUCAUUGCCAGGGCAUAUUUGGGUUGAGGAAUUACUGCAACAAAAUGGUGCCCAAAGAUUUGAAAUCAACUAACCUACGAUAAAACUUCACUGCCUCCCAACCCCUGAAUAGGGGUUGGGCAGUGACAUAGGCUGCAGCAGUGUGGACUGGAAACUGACUGAAUCUGAGGGGCCUACAGAGAACAGCAGAGAGAUUCGCUCCCCCAACUCCCAGAGAGGGAGCUAUGGCCAGGGGCAGCACCUCAGCCUAGAGCUGUAGGUAAGAACAGGUAAUUCAGAAUAAGAGACCAAAAGAUAAAAAUGAAUGUGGAAGACAGGAGCUAGAAAAGAUUCUAGAACAAAGGAUGCAGGAGCUCACAGAUCAGACUGAGCAGUAGAGAGAAAAUAAUGAGGAUUGGAAACUAGACUUGGAGAAUAACCUUUUAAAAUUAAUCAAUCAAAAUAAAAUGGACAGCAGACUAUCAGAAUUGUUAAAGAGAAAAAUCAAAAUGUGGAGGCAGAACCUUGAACAGAGAAUACAGGAGCUCAAGGAAAACGAAGAACAACAAAAGGAGAGAUGUGAAGCAUGGACACAGACCUUAAGGGAGGAAUUCAAAUUUCCAAUUAAGGAAAAUACUUAGGUAGAGACAGAAGAUAAAAUUAUGGAAAGCCAAUCAAAGGUUAUUAUAAAACAUACUUUAGUCUAACUGGUU